rnacentral:rRNA from 1 species
CCCUUAGAUGUUCUGGGCCGCACGCGCGCUACACUGAUGCAUUCAACGAGCCUAUCCUUGACCGACAGGUCCGGGUAUCUUUGAAUCUGCAUCGUGACGGGGAUAGAUUAUUGCAAUUAUUAAUCUUCAACGAGGAAUGCCUAGUAGGCGCAAGUCAUCAGCUUGCGUCGAUUACGUCCCUGCCCUUUGUACACACCGCCCGUCGCUCCUACCGAUUGGGUGUGCUGGUGAAAUGUUCGGAUCGGCCGUUUGUCGCGGUUUCCGCGGCUCGUGGCUGAGAAGUUCAUUAAACCCUCCCACCUAGAGGAAGGAGAAGUCGUAACA